AUACGGAGGGUGCAAGCGUUAUUCGGAAUUACUGGGCGUAAAGGACGCGUAGGCGGGUUGGCAAGUCAGAUGUGAAAUCCUACAGCUUAACUGUAGAACUGCAUUUGAAACUGCUAACCUAGAGUAUGGGAGGGGGAGAUGGAAUUAGUGGUGUAGGGGUAAAAUCCGUAGAUAUCACUAGGAAUACCGAAAGCGAAGGCGAUCUGCUGGAACAUAACUGACGCUAAGGCGUGAAAGCGUGGGGAGCAAACAGGAUUAGAAACCCCAGUAGUCC
rnacentral:rRNA from 1 species